rnacentral:rRNA from 1 species
GUUAUAGAGAGUUUGAUGAUGGCUCUAACUGAACACUGUCCAAGUACUUGACACAUGCUAAUCGAACGACUAAUUAGGUUUUAAGUAAUAUUUAUGUUAUUUAAAACUAAGUAGUAGUGGUGUACAGGUGAGUAUAAGAUAAAUUGGUUACCUUAAACCAAGGGAAAAAUCCCUUAUAAAUAAAUAAAGGUAAAAAAAAAUCCGGUUUAAGAUGUUAAUUUUUAUCUCGGUGAGUAGUAGGAAAGGUAAUGACUUUUCUAGCAGUAACCGUAGUCGUGACUGGGAAGUUGAUCGACCACAUUGGGUCUGAAAAAAACCCAAUGCUUUUUUGUACAGCAGUGAGGAAUAUUGGUCAAUGGCCGAAAGGCUGAACCAGUAACUUGGAAGAAUGAAAUUGUAUUUGUAUAAAUACAGUAGCGAUUAAUUCGCAUAAAAUUCUAAAUAGAUUGUAUAUAAUGACAGAAUCUAUUUAUAAGUCUUGACCAAACUACGUGCCAGCAGUCGCGGUAAUACGUAGGAGGCUAGUGUUAGUUAUCUUUAUUGGGUUUAAAGGGUAUGUAGACGGUAAAUUAAACUCUAAAAGAGUACUUUUUUACUAGAGUUAUAUAUGAGAAGGAAGAAUUUCUGGAGUAGAGAUAAAAUUUUUUGAUACCAGGAGGACUGUCAACGGCGAAGGCGUCCUUCUAUGUAAUAACUGACGUUGAGAGACGAAGGCUUGGGUAGCAAACAGGAUUAGAUACCCUAGUAGUCCAAGCAGACAAUGAUGAAUGUCAUACAUUAGAGAAGAUUUAAUGUAUAAACGAAAGUGUAAGCAUUCCACCUCAAGAGUACUAUGGCAACAUAUAAACUGAAAUCAUUAGACCGUUUCUGAAACCAGUAGUGAAGUAUGUUAUUUAAUUCGAUGAUCCGCGAAAAACCUUACCACAGCUUGUAUAACAUUUUUGUAAAAUUGUUACAAGCGCUGCAUGGCUGUCUUUAGUUAAUGUCGUGAGAUUUGGUUAACUCCUUUAAUUAACGAAAACCCUCACUUUAUUUAUUUAUAUAGAGUGGUUCACUACUACAUUAGACUAGAUAAUAGGGAUUAAGACAAGUCAUUAUGGCCUAAAUGCUGUGGGCUAUAGACGUGCCACAUACGCCUUUACAAAGGGAUGCGAUAUUGUGAAAUGGAGCUAAUCCCCAAAAAAGGAAAUAUUAUGGAUUGUAGUCUGUAACUCGACUACAUGAAAAAGGAAUUACUAGUAAUCGUGAAUCACCAACGUCACGGUGAAUUUUUCUCAGUUAGGUACUAACCACUCGUCAGGCGCUGAAAAAAGAAGAUGCAGUAAGUUUGAUUUUUUCUGUG